UUUUCGCAUAUUUACCCACAAUCGCUUUUUCAUAGGUUGACUGAUUUGUCAUGCAUAUUCAUUUCCUCUUCAAUUCAAGCGUCAAAAUGUUGCGGUGGCAAUAUCGUUCUCUGUGACUUGAUAUUGAAGAUUUUCUUUUCAAUAACACACGUCACACGAGAGCAGAAUUGACCUCUUAUCUGUUUCUACCAAAUAUUAUAUUACAGGCGACUGAACAUAUCAAUCGCUGGUUUAACAGUAGGCAACGCUGAAGGGAGACGCUUGUUUGCACGAAUCAAAAACAGCGUGGAACUAAACCUGGUUUGUAAACACGCAACAGAGACACAGCUUGUAAAAACAAGGUUUAUUCAGAGGAACCUCUUUAUUAUCUUUUGUAAGGAAUGGAUUGAGAUCAGUAAAUCUGUGAUUGUCUCACCGAUAGGAAUAAAAGCUACAGUGAAAGACGCCUCACGGAAAAUAGAAAGGAAAUUCGAACGGAAACUUGAACUGUAAAAUGUCGGAAUUUUUCAGCUGUAAUGACAGCACAGGACGUUACGUCUUCAAUAUCGUGUUUUUCUCGCUCAUUGGCGCAGCGAUCAUCGUACUUCUCGUACUGGGUGCUUACUUGCUCUUUAAACGACACAAGAAAGCUCAAAAGAGAAGAUUGCUUUCAAGAAGUCGUGUAAACACCAUGAACACAAAUAGCACAAUUUUAUCAGGGGCCAGUGGAGGCGGCGGAAGCAGUCAACUUACGAGUAAUUUUAUCCUGGGCCGGCCACCUGCCACUGAUGUAAUUCUGGGUGUUUACGGUGACGAAAUCUCCAAAAAUGCUAGGGCUGCAUUUUAUGAAGAGAAAGGCUGGCGAGGAUUUGCUUACUGAAGAUUCAUCGAGUGUGUCUAAGGCGCACGUUCAUGACAAGAGUCCAGGUUAAUUUUAAUCGAGAGAUUUUCCCGUUUUGGUUGGCACCUGAGUUGCGUUUUAAACAGCUAGUGAAUUAGCAUUUAUGGGCCGAUUAACACACUUUGAAAGUGAAACAAUACGACUUAAAAUCGCUCUAAUGACUUAAUGGUCGUUAACAUUCUUUCUUCGCCAGAACGGCUCAAAGAAGUUUUGAGAGAUUCUUGAAAGUUGUAAAGCGGUCUCAGCGACACCUUACCCGUAAUUGUCCAUGGAUAUGAACAUAUUUUAGGAAAGAAAAGCGCCUUUUGUACUAAGGCGCUUAUAUCUCAUUUUCACGUGACAUAAUAAAAGCCGGUUUUUGUCUCCGAUCGACGCCCCGGUCAAAAUGUCACGAGAAGAACACAUGCCUUUUCGCUGAAGGAAGUAAAAUAGUUCUUAUAAGGAAAUGAAAUCUCGUUGUAUGAGAUACUUCCUAUUGUAGAGAAAUUUUAACCUUCUCUGAAUUGUAUCCAACCAAUUAAGAAGGAUUUCACUUGAGUUUAGCUAUUAAGAGUUAGCUGAGAGUGGAAUUAGUACACUUUAAAACUGGUCUAAUUAUUUUGAAAA